GGCCUCAAGUGAUGGAGCAAUGACCGGGGAGUACUGUGACCGAAUUGGGAUGUAUUCGUACUAUCUGAUGGGGCC
ensembl:snoRNA